rnacentral:lncRNA from 13 species
AGCACAGCACUGGAGAACAACAGAAGCCUGGGGACUCUAAAGGCUGCCUAUUGCUGAGUGUUUUCCAGAGCCUGGGUCCACUGCAGAUUGGAGAUGAGUGUUAUUGACACAUGGAAGAGUCAAGUUUUCACUCCUUCACCCAGGCUGAAGUGAAGUGGCACCUUCUCAGCUCGCUACUACCUCCGCACCUUGGGUUCAAGUUAUUCUCCUGCCUCAGCCUCUCGAGUAGCUGGGAUUAGAGGCACAUGCCACCACGCCCAGCUAAGUUUUGUAACUAUAGUAUAGAUGGAGAUUUGUCUCAUUGGCCAGGCUGGUCACAAACUCCCGACCUCAAGUGAUCCACCUGUUUCGGCUUCCCAAAGUGCUAGGAUUACAGAUGUGAGCCACUGG